AUUGUAAACUAGCCCAAUUAAGGACGGUCUCAAGCCCGUGUAAAUAGUGAGAGCAAC
rnacentral:ribozyme from 2 species